rnacentral:rRNA from 1 species
UACGGAGGGGGCUAGCGUUGUUCGGAAUUACUGGGCGUAAAGCGCACGUAGGCGGACCAGAAAGUUGGAGGUGAAAUCCCAGGGCUCAACCUUGGAACUGCCUUCAAAACUCCUGAUCUUGAGUUCGAGAGAGGAGAGUGGAAUUCCGAGUGUAGAGGUGAAAUUCGUAGAUAUUCGGAGGAACACCAGUGGCGAAGGCGGCUCACUGGCUCGAUACUGACGCUGAGGUGCGAAAGCGUGGGGAGCAAACAGG